GGAAUUGCGAUGAUUAGAAGUAUAAUUCCUGGUUCUGAAUGCUGCGAUUGGCAUGACAGACUCUUCUGAACACCCAUAGAAUCUGAGCAAU